GCGGGUUUUCUUUUGGGUUUCUUAGUUUCUCUUUCGUUUCCUUGUUUGUUUGAUGGGUAAGAAGAAAACCCAGAAAACUAAGGAGAUUGCAGUCGCCAUAGCUGAAACCUCCACCUCCAAAUUAGCCGAUGAUGGUAUUGGCCAAUCGAUACAGCCCAGGAAAAGGGGCCGACCUCGUAAGGUUCUUGAUGAACCACAAAACAAAGAGGAGAACAAGAAACUGUCGCCGCCGCUGCUGCCGGAAGUUGCAGAGAAUCCACCGGAGAAGAAAGCUAAAACCACCGUAGAUGAACCGCCGCCGGGUUCCAUGGAAGAAGGUUCAAAACAAGAAGAACGCAAAACAGGGGAUGGUUCGAGA
rnacentral:misc_RNA from 1 species